UCACUCUAAUGUACUCAUGUCGUAUUGUAAUUUGUAGUCAAAACUCUGAAAAAUUAAGGUAAAUACGAUGAGUUGCUCUUUUAAACUUAAACUCUGAAAACUGAAAUAAAGAUGACUGGAAACCUAAUUUUUCCUAAUAAUUAUUAAAACUUAUAGAAGUACAAAGUAGCUUGAUAACACAGCUAUACAUAGCACACCCAGUUACUGGUUGCCAAAAGCUCAUAGAAGAAGUAGAUGAUGAACAUAAACUUUGCAUUUUGUAUGAAAAGCGAAUAGGCCAAGAGGUGGAUGCUGAUGCCUUAGGUGAUGAAUGGAGGGGCUUUGUUGUGAGAAGAAGUGGAGGCAAUGACAAACAAGGGUUCCCAAUGAAACAAGGUGUGUUAACAGUUGAGCAGAUGAACAAUAUAUUCCUGGUUUGACUGACACGACCAUCCCUCGUUGUCUUGGUCCUAAGAGAGAAAACUCUUCAAUCUUGCAAAAGAAGAUGAUGUUUGUCAGUAUGUGAUAAGGAAACGUCUGCUCCAGGAAGAGGGUUUGUCACACUUACUCAUCAUUUUCGUGAGAAGAUAUAAAUAAUGGCUAAAAGCAGCUGAAAAUGGAAGAAACUCUGUCAUAAAACACCUAAAAAUUCAAUGACUUGUAACUCCCCAGGUGCUCCAACAUAAGAGACAUCGAUUCACACUUAAGCUUAAACGUUCUCAUAAACUGAAGCUGCUGAUUAUGCUCGUCUCUUGACCCAGCGAGCUAAAGAGAAGAGACAGAUGGAACAGAGACGUCUUCACUGUGGUUCCCAACAAAAGUCCUCCUCAUCAACAGGGAAAGGAAAUACUAGCAAGUGAAAUGAAAAAUGCAAUUGUUUCACUACACCUACCAGUAGAAGACUAUACUAUACAGGAAUCUUUCCCACAAAAGUGUGCAUAUGACAACAUAGGUGAAUGGCCCGGAACAAUAGGCAACUACAGUGAAAGGAAUUUAGCCAAUUUCUUAAUCAACAUUCUGUAAAAACUUUCAUAUGCUUGUAUAUGCUAAAAUUGCAAAACAUUUUAUGUAAAUUUGAAGUUAAAUAAAGGGGAUAGACAAAAUCUAAUAUGUUUGCGUGCUACAAAGUGUAUUUCAUUGUUUGAAGAGAAAUUAGUGUACAUUUUAUGUACGUAAUUUGAGAGUUUAAAUAUAAUAGAAAGAACAGUUUAGGUUUAGAGUACAUGAUAAUAUGUUAGAUUAAUAGAAAUUAUGUACAGAUAAACGUUACAUUUUAUUUACGUAUUUGAUUUUAACUUUUACACCAACACUAAUAAUUCACAUCAUAAUGUGUAUAUAUACUUAAAUAGAGACAAGUUAUACACAUUGACCAAAAUAUGUUAGAGUAACAAAUGCAGUAUGUUGUUAAACAUGAUAAAGUGUUUAAUUUGGGUAAUAUGAAUACAUUUUAUUAGCUUAGAAUAAAUUCAAAUGAUAUUUGAGUAUGUACCUAAAAUCUUUGUUGUGAUAAAUUAUUACUUAAGUUACACAGAUGAUUGAGAGUGUUAGUGUGGCCUGGAUAGACUAAGUUAAUUAAAUAUCAAGUUUCGUUGCAUUGUUCUCGUAUAAAUCGUGAAGUAUUUGUUAAGUUAAAUAGUUUAGGUAUAAAAGUUUGUAGGUUGUGUUUAUUGAAAACAAUAGCAGUAAGAAGAAAAUAUAAUAAUAGGAUGAAAGUCUGAAACUGUUAAAGAAAACAUGAAUGGUGAUUUGUGUAGCAUGAAUGUAUAUAGAGGUUUUC